rnacentral:lncRNA from 1 species
CCCAAGGCAACGCGGGAUGCAAGGCACGAGCUUCGAUCGAUAUUUAGGCAACCCGAUCGGAAGGAGUGCGUUCGCGAGAACUACGUUGCAGCGUGCGUCUUAUGCCUAGGCCAAUCGACUGACACGCCGCGCGGUUUCGUCCCCACGCAUGCCCUCCGUCCUGCAUCGUCGUGCCUUUCGACGGUCUCGUUUCCGAACGAUUUCGCGCCUCCCGAUCGAACGUUGGGAAGUUACGGGGACUACGUUGCAGCGUGCGUCUUAUGCCUAGGCCAAUCGACCGACACGCCGCGCGGUUUCGUCCCCACGCAUGCCCUCCGUCUUGCAUCGUUGUGCCACACGACGGU